rnacentral:rRNA from 1 species
GAGUGAAGCGGCAACAGCUCAAAUUUGAAAUCUGGCCGCAAGGCCCGAGUUGUAAUUUGUAGAGGAUGCUUUGGGCGCGGCGCCUUCCGAGUUCCCUGGAACGGGACGCCAUAGAGGGUGAGAGCCCCGUCUGGUUGGAUGCCUAGCCUAUGUAAAGCUCCUUCGACGAGUCGAGUAGUUUGGGAAUGCUGCUCAAAAUGGGAGGUAUAUGUCUUCUAAAGCUAAAUACUGGCCAGAGACCGAUAGCGCACAAGUAGAGUGAUCGAAAGAUGAAAAGCACUUUGAAAAGAGGGUUAAAUAGUACGUGAAAUUGUUCAGAGGGAAGCGCUUCUGACCAGACUUGGGCUCGGUGAAUCAUCCAGCGUUCUCGCUGGUGCACUUUGCCGGUCCAGGCCAACAUCAGUUCGUCGCGGGGGAUAAAGGCUUCGGGAAAGUGGCCCCCUCGGGGGUGUUAUAGACCGUUGUGCAAUACCCUGCGAUGGACUGAGGUUCGCGCUCCGCAAGGAUGUUGGCGUAAUGGUCAUCAGCGACCCGUCUUGAAACACGGACCAAGGAGUCGUCUUCGUAUGCGAGUGUUCGGGUGUCAAACCCCUACGCGUAAUGAAAGUGAACGGAGGU